ACUUCCAUCAUGUGAACCCCACUUAAGCAAGCCGUAUUUGUGUUUCUAUUCCAAUAAUGUAGAAACUCUUACCAUUUUGGGACCUAAGUUAUACUGCCUGUCUUUUCUUGCUGCUGUAUGGGAAAGCACAUGAAUCUGAAGAAUUUGUAAGUAAACCAUUUUUAACCUACCAAACGUGUGGUCUCUCUUUCUAUGCUAAGGGAAGUGGGGGACUUUGGAUGCAAACCAGAAGGGGAUAUUUUAAAGAUCUAACAGCCUAUAUUUCCACACCUUUGCUGCAUAUUUUGUGAUUUUAAAUCUCUGCUGAGUCUCUCUCACCAAAUAGUACUUGCCCCAAGUACUCUAGGCACCCAGGAAAUCCUCAUUUUAUUAUACCAUAUCUACAUUUUUCUCUUUUAACCAAACUAACCAACAAAAUCUUACUCUUUGCUUGGGAUACAUCAUAUUUUGAAAGGUGAAGACAUGCUGUAAAGCUAUUAUACAAGAUAAACUGUUAGGAAUUCUUGUGUUUGGAACAGUUUCAACAGGAUGGAGAGGGAAACAGAUGACCUUCUGAUACCUUCCAUACCUAGAAUUAUGAUUCUUUAAAGCCAUAGUGAUACUGUCACAGUCUUGUCAUGUCUUCAAACCACACGAAUCUCUCUUGCAUGUGAGGAAAAGAUAAAGUGAUAAUAAAAGUAUGAUGAAAUGGUUAUUAUCACAAAGAUGGUUGCAAUACUGGGGAAAUAGGAUUCAAAAACAUGGAGUAACUGUACACAUAAUAGAAUGUUUGGAUAAGAUUAAGAGAGUUCCUUGUUUCAGCUGACACUAUCAGUACAAGAAAAGUAAUAUUGCUUUAAAAAACCCUGUAAACUGAAAGCCUGAGAAAGUUCUUAUCUAUAGGACCAAGACAAGAAUACUCCAAACCACAGAUAGGAAGAUUUAGAAAUGUCUUCAUGUGCUCCAGAUAUGAACAAAAGUGGAAUAGGAAAGUACUGAGAGCAUUUCUGCCUAAUUUAUAUCUGUAGUUUAAGCCAUUACCUCCCAUUUAAAAAUGGCCUUGGAUAUUCAUGGUAUUAAAUAAUAGAAACCAAUAAAUAAAUACUUGUUGGUAAAAUAAAUUCACAUCUCAAAGGUCUGCCUUUGAGACACAGUUUUCAGAUGUCUAAAAGAACGCAGAGAUGAUUUCUGCCCAACCUCUAUUGACAGGGAUUUCAGCAAGACAGGGCCUGCCACACGGAAGACUCAGUCCCUAGCAAAGGGUAAGCAAAGGGGCGUGGGGGAACCACUAGCUGUGCCCCAUCAGAGAAUCUCAGUGACUGAGAGGGAACAUAAGCAGCAUGAUUAUCUUGAAGCUACUUUGGGCCCAAUUUUGGGGGGCUUUGAAGUUGGCACAGUAGCAAGAACCUUAAACCUGCCUUGGUAGGCAACUGGCAACCAAUGCAGCUCUCCCUGUUGCCAGACCUUGCACUUGUGAGCAGUCUGGUCUUAGCAAUCUGCACUAGUUGCAACUUCUGGACUGGAUACAGAAGCAGCCGCACAUAAGGCAUGAUGUAGUAAUCGAGCCUUGAGGUUACUGUGGCCAGGAUUAUCUUGGUAGAAGGCAGGCCUGGCCACAGAGUUCACUUGAGACUCUAGUGACACAGGUGGGUCAAGAAGUGCCCCCAAGCUGCAAACCUGCUUCUCCAGAGGGUGUGCGGAACAGGCAACUGAUAAGUACAUAGGAAGAGUUACGUUGGCUAAGCCCAGCAUCCUGUUUCCCAAAGUGACCAACCAGAUGGACAGGUCAUGAACACAACUGGUAUUUUUUAGCAAAUGGUAUUCAGAGGCCUUUGCUCCUGGAGGAAGGACAUAGCCUUCGCAACUGCCAGCCACUGAUGCCUUAUCCUCCAUAAAAUUGUCUAAUCCCCUUCUGAAGCCAUUCAAGUUGAUCACCAUCCGCAUACCUUGUGGUAACCAAAUAGAUUGUUUAGCAAUGUGCCAUAUGUGAAGAAGUACUCUCUCUUGUCUGUAUUGAAUCUCCCCAUCCACUUUCUUCACACCAUUUAUAAAUGUCUGCCAUAUCUGGCCCAUCUACUUGCCUUUUUUAAAAAGAUGAAAAAUUCCCAGUCAUUUUAAUAUUUCUACAUGGAGUUGCUCCAGCCUCAUAAUCAUUUUAGUUGCUUUUGCAAUGUGUGUGUGUGUGUUGUUAAUAGACACUAUUGGGGGGCUCUGCCUUUAUCCCACCUCAUCCAUCACCCCACAAUUUUGAGGUUGGCUUGCUGGAAUGGAAAUGUGCUAUAUUUAAUUUUCAGGUCAUAAGGCAGAAAGGAAGCAGCUGAAAAACAGUUUUUGUUUCUAGAAGUGUGUUGGAUAGGCAUGCAAAAUAUCUUUCCUUCAAUGUGUGACAUACAAACCUCUUUUUAAAAAGUAGCCUGGUUCCUCAGUUCAGAUCAGGCCUGAGACUGCCAGUGGUGUGGACAUGAUUUACCUCUAUAAAUUCUGCCUGUUCCAAAGCUAUUAUAGACAUAAAGGCCUUGGCAGAAAAAAGACAGAGAUGGAGGUUCAAAUACCUGCUCAGUCCACAGAGUCAUGGGAAUAAGACCCUCCCCACCAACGUGGUUUUGGAUGACACCUUCCCUCCUGAGAAUUGGAGAUGCUGCCUGGGACUGGUGGGAUCUGUGGGCCAAUGGCUUAUGGAGGGCACCAGGUUGGGUAUGAUUGUGCUAUACUUUGCACAGAGGUCUUGUGAGGACAAACACCCUGAAGACAAGUGCACUCGUAUAUACAAAAGGUCAGGGCAGAGUAUGAAAAGUAUGAACUGAGAAAAAAGAUCCCAGGAGUUUUGUAAGACAUGUUUAGCACACAGAUUCUUUCCCCUUUACCUUUCCAGAGUGCUUGCUCUCGCUCUCUUGUUAUGAGUUUCUGGAGGCUGUAUGCCAAGACCCUUCUAAUUCCUGGAUCCAGCAUUAAAAAUCUAAGCACGGAUUCAAAUUCAUGGAAUAGCCAGGCUAGCUUCCCGAUGAGGUAAUGGCCUAAAUAUGGGUAGCUAAGGUAACAAACGAAGUGGCUCUGUACCAUAUGGCAGCUGGGUGGGCCUCCCUUCCUCAACUCGCUGGUAGUUAGAAAGACAAAGGCCAAAGCUGAGAGUUGUGUGUGUGUCAUCUAGAAGCAAGGCUGCAGGCUGGGCAGCAGGGAGACAGAACCAUGCCUAAUUUCUGCAGGAAUCCAGGGCUAUGGCUAUGUAAAAAGCCUUUUGGGGUGUUGAUGCUGCGAAGCCCUCCAUCACAGGCUAAGGUUGUACAUAUGUGCAAAUAAACCAUAUAUUCUAAAGACACCACAGUAUCUGAAGGCAACACAAACCCUGGGGAAGUGCCUGGAACCCCUGGAAUCUUGCACUGCUCAGAGAUUGGGGCUUGCAACAAUAGAUAAAAACAUUCUGACAACUUACAUUAAAACAUGACUUCAAACAUGUAGGAUUAGAAUCAAUCUUGACGUUGUUUUCAAUCCCGGUGUCAUAAUUGUUUAUCCCUUUAUUAAAAUAAAUAAACACAUGGUUUCUCAAUCCAGGUUUCUCAUCAAGCCAUGAUUCAGGAAGCUUGACUUCAUGCUUUAAAGUGGACUUCCUAACCCUGGUGUGUGCUAACUGUUGCUUGUUUGAUGUGGCAUCUGAAAUGACUAGCCUCAUCAUUGCUUCAGGGAACUGGAGACCAAACGAAAACAGGCAAUCACCUCUAAACUAUGAUGUGCCUGUAGAUUUGCAAACUAUGGUUGGUACCAGCAAUCAUCUGUUUGAUGUGAUGUCUGAGGGCCAAACCAGAUAUGAUGCAGGAGAACUCGGAUGAGGAUCUCCUGUAAUUUGCCAUUAAAACAAACAGCUAACCCUGCAUGGCUGCUUUUAAAACUAUGGAAGUGGCGCUCAGGGACCAGGAUAAGGUUUUUAACCCUUCUUUCCUUUGGCGGAGGGCUGCAGUGCAGUGGUAGUGCAUAUGUUUUGCAUAUCAAAGGUCUCCAGUUUAUUUUUGGUGUCUCUAGGUAGUGUUGGGAAAGGCUGUUGAGGGAAACCCUGGAGAGCUGCUGCCAGCCAGUUUAGAGACCACCGUGAGCCAUGUGGACCAAAGGCCUGGACUUGGCAGAAUGAAACAACCUUUGGUUGCUGUCAGCUUCACUGAAGGUGGACAAAGGUUAGUUAGUAGGGGGGACUGUCGAUUCUGUUGUUAAAGUGUGGAAUUUAAUUAUAAAUGGGUAGGAUCCUGAGGUGUUUUUGUUUUUUGUUGGAAUGAGGGUGUUGUUGCUUUUUUAUUGUUGUUGUAAAAGCUAUUCAGUGUUGCAAUGGAUUUGUUUUAAUUAUAUUUUGACUGGUGUCCUGCUUUUUAUUAAUAGGUACAGGUGCUGUACCUUUUACUGGUCCUCCACAGAUAACAGCAGCUUUAAGAGGCCUUUUUCACUGAGGUAAAGGCAAAUGAGGGAAGGGUUAAAAGUCUCCCCCAGAGCACCACUUCCCCAAUUUUCAAAGAAGCUAUGGAAGUAACAACUGAUAUAACAACGCCAAGCAACCAAGGAGAUAAAAAUCAGCGAUCUCCUGAAUGCAUCUAGUUUGGCCCUGAAUCGUCUUAACAGCCUUGGUGGAACAAAUGCAAUCAAAGUUCUCUAUUGCACAGAAUUGUGUACUUUUUGUACCAUAGUUUUGGGGUUUGUUUGUUUUUUAAAAAAAUAGUAAUAAUUAAAAAGUUGAAAAGAAAAUCCUGGGCUUUUGAUAUUCUGUCACCUUCAUCUCCCACGAUCUACAAGGUUGAGAACUUGACAUUGGGGUUCAGGUGGUAGCCAGUCAAGCAGGGUCUUCCUUGCCCUCUAGACACAGGACUGGCCUGUUUCAGGAAUUCCUGAUAAUUGUUGUUAUUGUUGCUCCUUGCAGCCCUGGGAAAUACACCUGCAAUGUCUCACAGAAUACGCCUUGUAGCGAGAGGCCGUGGCCCCAGUACACAAGAACAUAGUCUGGUUAUGUAAAGUGUGAUCUAUCUCUCAUCUGUUUAUUGCUCUCAAUUUGUUUGUGAUUCAUAUUUUGUAUGUACAAAUGCUUGUUUAAUUUCUGGCACAAGGACCGUGCUCAUCAAAAGAGAGAGAGACUAAUAGCAUUGCCUGCAGCAAAGCAGUAGCAAGCCAAGUACAGGGCAUGUUAACACAAACAGCUUAGUCAAAGAGAUCCAGGUUCUGGCAUGUGGCUUCUCAAUGGUCUUCUGUUCAACCCAUUCUAUGUCAAAACCAUCAGUUAUGCCAAAUCAUGCCUGUUCCCCCAUAGCCAUUUCAUGGCAGUAGUUGGAUAAAUAUUGUGUUUUCUUCACUAGUAUUGGGAACAGUUCGGCCAAUGUUAUAGCAUUGUAACCUUACUUUUUUCUAAUGAUCUUUUAAAGUUUUUCCUAUAACCAUGUCUUAUAUAACAAUGGAGACAAAGAAUUACACUAAAGUUCAGAGGGCCACAGUUCAGAGGGCCACUUGUGAAAGGGGGGCAAUUUUCAUGCUAAACCAUUACAGAGUGUUCUCACUAACCGUACAUCCCACACACUCAAUAGAAAAUGGGAGAUACU
rnacentral:lncRNA from 1 species